rnacentral:rRNA from 1 species
GAUGAACGCUGGCGGCGUGCCUAAUACAUGCAAGUCGAGCGAACAGACGAGGAGCUUGCUCCUCUGACGUUAGCGGCGGACGGGUGAGUAACACGUGGAUAACCUACCUAUAAGACUGGGAUAACUUCGGGAACCCGGAGCUAAUACCGGAUAAUAUAUUGAACCGCAUGGUUCAUUAGUGAAAGACGGUUUUGCUGUCACUUAUAGAUGGAUCCGCGCCGCAUUAGCUAGUUGGUAAGGUAACGGCUUACCAAGGCAACGAUGCGUAGCCGACCUGAGAGGGUGAUCAGCCACACUGGAACUGAGACACGGUCCAGACUCCUACGGGAGGCAGCAGUAGGGAAUCUUCCACAAUGGGCGAAAGCUUGACGGAGCAACGCCGCGUGAGUGAAGAAGGUCUUCGGAUCGUAAAACUCUGUUAUUAGGGAAGAACAAAUGUGUAAGUAACUAUGCACGUCUUGACGGUACCUAAUCAGAAAGCCACGGCUAACUACGUG